ACAACGGCGGCUUUUCAGGCCGCAGGUCUUGGAGAAAAGCCAAGCAGGAAUU
rnacentral:tRNA from 3 species